GCUUGCAAUUCAGCUUCUUGUGCAGACAUAGUUGAUGGUAAAGAUGAUGAUUUGACAAUUUCAUCUGUUGUGGUUACGGCAUAUCCUGUAUGGUAUCUUCCUUCUUCAUCAGCAUAUCUUGAGCCGUCCACAAACAGGGUGAGAUCGGGAUCUACCAAUGGGUCUUCAUGCACAGUUGGUAGAUGUGUUGUUUCCAUUUUCAUCUGUUCAAAACAGUCAUGAGGUGUAUUUGGGUCGUAGUCAUUUACUAUGGUUAAAUCUUGGAACUCAUUUUCCAGGAAAUGAUGUGGCCAUGCUUUUAGGUGGUCAGUUGUUGGAUAUUUGACAACACCAUUUUCCUGUAGCUGUGAUUCGUCUAUAGUGGCCCAUACUUUUGCCAUAGGCCCAAGAUCAUUCCAUGAUAUUGUUUUCAACUUGGUCACAGGGACAUGUGGAAUGGCAGUGUCCCAAUGACGGUACAAAUGCUUGAGUUCCGGAGGUAGAUGAAUCAAGACCAUACUGUUGCCUUCAGAAUCACAGUAGAAGUCUUGUGCAGUGAGUUUUACUUCGACCAGAUUAUAGAGUUCAUCUUCAUAGCAGGGUUCAGGAGUGAUGUUUGGUUUGUACCACAUGGUACAGAAGGCAUAUCCUGCUCCGUCAUGAAGGAGUGCUUGUCCAUCAUGAAAGGAUAGGUUGGGAUGCAUUUCCUUCUUGAUGGUGCCAGUGAGAAGAAAAACAUAAGUUUCGUCCAUGAUGAAUCCAU